rnacentral:rRNA from 1 species
GAGUUUGAUCCUGGCUCAGGACGAACGCUGGCGGCGCGCCUAACACAUGCAAGUCGAACGGAGCUUAGAGAGCUUGCUUUUUAAGCUUAGUGGCGAACGGGUGAGUAACGCGUGAGUAACCUGCCCUAGAGUGGGGGACAACAGUUGGAAACGACUGCUAAUACCGCAUAAGCCCACGGUGCCGCAUGGCACUGAGGGAAAAGGAUUUAUUCGCUUUAGGAUGGACUCGCGUCCAAUUAGCUAGUUGGUGAGGUAACGGCCCACCAAGGCGACGAUUGGUAGCCGGACUGAGAGGUUGAACGGCCACAUUGGGACUGAGACACGGCCCAGACUCCUACGGGAGGCAGCAGUGGGGGAUAUUGCACAAUGGGGGAAACCCUGAUGCAGCGACGCCGCGUGGAGGAAGAAGGUCUUCGGAUUGUAAACUCCUGUUGUUGAGGAAGAUAAUGACGGUACUCAACAAGGAAGUGACGGCUAACUACGUGCCAGCAGCCGCGGUAAUUC